GAUGAACGCUGGCGGCGUGCCUAAUACAUGCAAGUCGAGCGAACAGACGAGGAGCUUGCUCCUCUGACGUUAGCGGCGGACGGGUGAGUAACACGUGGAUAACCUACCUCUAAGACUGGGAUAACUUCGGGAAACCGGAGCUAAUACCGGAUAAUAUAUUGAACCGCAUGGUUCAAUAGUGAAAGACGGUUUUGCUGUCACUUAUAGAUGGAUCCGCGCCGCAUUAGCUAGUUGGUAAGGUAACGGCUUACCAAGGCAACGAUGCGUAGCCGACCUGAGAGGAUGAUCGGCCACACUGGAACUGAGACACGGUCCAGACUCCUACGGGAGGCAGCAGUAGGGAAUCUUCCGCAAUGGGCGAAAGCCUGACGGAGCAACGCCGCGUGAGUGAUGAAGGUCUUCGGAUCGUAAAACUCUGUUAUUAGGGAAGAACAAAUGUGUAAGUAACUAUGCACGUCUUGACGGUACCUAAUCAGAAAGCCACGGCUAACUACGUG
rnacentral:rRNA from 1 species